UUUUCUUAAUCAACUUUUCGUCUUUGAAACGUUCCCUUUUAUAGCACAAAUCGCAAAAGAGACGGUUAAUCCGAAUUUCUAUAUACGUAUUUGAUGAGAAUGAGAGCAAGUAAACGACAAGGACAAGAUUGGAUCCUUUUCUAUCUUCUCUCCUUGGGAAAGCAAAUGGACUGUAGAAAAGUAGAAAAGAAAAUCUUCAAGAUUCGAUGAAAAGUUGACUCUGAAGGUGAAAGGAAAUCUUUGAAAGGGAAUCAUUGAAGGAGAAAAACGUACUACAAUUUAUUGCUUUCUUCAAAUCUAAGAAAAUAGUUAUCUCGUCUUAUCAAAAGCAAACUUUUCAUCGAUUUACGAUUACACUACUUCCAUUUUCCUUUAAUCUAUUCAAACUUAUAUUCCAUUAUGUUCCAUUAUUUCUUUCGGUACAUUUAUGUAACUCUCUAUUAUUAUACCAUACGUAUAUGAAAAUACGAAAAUAUGUGGACAAAGUUUAAAUUUGUUAUAUAAUAUUUUUUUUACGAUAUUACUUAAGUUGAUGUCUAAGUCAUACUACAGCGUAUCACAUUUCAAAAUCAUCAAAACCACAUUACGAUGUUACGAUAUCGU